rnacentral:lncRNA from 1 species
UUCAGCUUGCUCUUUGUUCAAUUCAGCUUGCUCUUUGUUCUAUUCAGCUUGCUCUUUGUUCUCUUCAGCUUGCUCUUUGUUCUAUUCAGCUUGUUCUAUUCAGCUUGCUCUUUGUUCUAUUCAGCUUGUUCUAUUCAGCUUGUUCUUUGUUCUAUUCAGCUUGCUCUUUGUUCUAUUCAGCUUGCUCUUUGUUCUAUUCAGCUUGUUCUUUGUUCUCUUCAGCUUGCUCUUUGUUCUAUUCAGCUUGUUCUAUUCAGCUUGCUCUUUGUUCUAUUCAGCUUGCUCUUUGUUCUAUUCAGCUUGCUCUUUGUUCUAUUCAGCUUGUUCUUUGUUCUCUUCAGCUUGUUCUUUGUUCUAUUCAGCUUGUUCUAUUCAGCUUGCUCUUUGUUCUAUUCAGCUUGUUCUCUUCAGCUUGUUCUAUUCAGCUUGCUCUUUGUUCUAUUCAGCUUGCUCUUUGUUCUCUUCAGCUUGCUCUUUGUUCUAUUCAGCUUGCUCUUUGUUCUAUUCAGCUUGUUCUCUUCAGCUUGUUCUAUUCAGCUUGCUCUUUGUUCUAUUCAGCUUGCUCUUUGUUCUAUUCAGCUUGCUCUUUGUUCUAUUCAGCUUGUUCUUUGAUCUAUUCAAUUUGUUCUUUGUUUUCUAUUCAGCUGGUUCUAUUCAGCUUGUUCUAUUCAGAUUGCUCUUUGUUCUAUUCAGCUGGUUCUAUUCAGCAUGUUCUAUUCAGCUUGCUCUUUGUUCUAUUCAGCUUGUUCUAUUCAGCUUGCUCUUUGUUCUAUUCAGCUUGUUCUUUGUUCUAUUCAGCUUGUUCUUUGAUCUAUUCAGCUUGUUCUUUGAUCUAUUCAGCUUGUUCUUUGAUCUAUUCAGCUUGUUCUUUGAUCUAUUCAGAUUGCUCUUUGUUCUAUUCAGCUUGUUCUUUGAUCUAUUCAACUUGUUCUUUGAUCUAUUCAACUUGUUCUUUGAUCUAUUCAGCUUGCUCUUUGUUCUGUUCAGCUUGUUCUUUGAUCUAUUCAGCUUGUUCUUUGAUCUAUUCAGCUUGUUAUUUGUUCUUGUCAGCUUGUUCUUUGAUCUAUUCAGCUUGUUCUUUGAUCUAUUCAGCUUGUUCUAUUCAGCUUGUUCUAUUCAGCUUGUUCUUUGAUCUGUUCAGCUUGUUUUAUUCAGCUUGUUCUUUGAUCUAUUCAGCUUGUUCUUUGAUCUAUUCAGCUUGUUCUUUGAUCUAUUCAGAUUGUUCUAUUCAGCUUGUUCUUUUUUCUAUUCAUCUUGUUCUUUGA